AGGAGCUGGAGAGAUAGCUCAGG
rnacentral:piRNA from 1 species